rnacentral:rRNA from 1 species
UUUUUGUGGAGGGUUCGAUUCUGGCUCAGGAUGAACGCUGGCGGCGUGCUUAACACAUGCAAGUCGAACGGGAUCGGUUGGAGCUUGCUCCGGCCGUGAGAGUGGCGAACGGGUGAGUAAUGCGUGACCGACCUGCCCCAUACACCGGAAUAGCUCCUGGAAACGGGUGGUAAUGCCGGAUGCUCCGACAUGACGCAUGUCGUGUCGGGAAAGAUUCAU